GACGAACGCUGGCGGCGUGCUUAACACAUGCAAGUCGAACGGAAAGGCCCUGCUUUUGUGGGGUGCUCGAGUGGCGAACGGGUGAGUAACACGUGAGUAACCUGCCCUUGACUUUGGGAUAACUUCAGGAAACUGGGGCUAAUACCGGAUAGGAGCUCCUGCUGCAUGGUGGGGGUUGGAAAGUUUCGGCGGUUGGGGAUGGACUCGCGGCUUAUCAGCUUGUUGGUGGGGUAGUGGCUUACCAAGGCUUUGACGGGUAGCCGGCCUGAGAGGGUGACCGGCUACAUUGGUACUGAGAUACGGCCCAGACUCCUACGGGAAGCAGCAGUGGGGAAUAUUGCAGAAUGGGCGGAACGCUGAUGCAGCAACGCCGCGUGCGGGAUGACGGCCUUCGGGUUGUAAGCCGCUUUCGCCUGUGACGAAGCGUGAGUGACGGUAAUGGGUAAAGAAGCACCGGCUAACUACGUG
rnacentral:rRNA from 1 species